CUGAUGCGUUGUUGGGUAGGGGAGCGUUCUGUAAGCCUGCGAAGGUGGCCUGUGAGGGUUGCUGGAGGUAUCAGAAGUGCGAAUGCUGACAUAAGUAACGAUAAAGCGGGUGAAAAGCCCGCUCGCCGGAAGACCAAGGGUUCCUGUCCAACGUUAAUCGGGGCAGGGUGAGUCGACCCCUAAGGCGAGGCCGAAAGGCGUAGUCGAUGGGAAACGGGUUAAUAUUCCCGUACUUGGUGUUACUGCGAAGGGGGGACGGAGAAGGCUAUGUUGGCCGGGCGACGGUUGUCCCGGUUUAAGCGUGUAGGCUGGUUUUCCAGGCAAAUCCGGAAAAUCAAGGCUGAGGCGUGAUGACGAGGCACUACGGUGCUGAAGCAACAAAUGCCCUGCUUCCAGGAAAAGCCUCUAAGCAUCAGGUAACAUCAAAUCGUACCCCAAACCGACACAGGUGGUCAGGUAGAGAAUACCAAGGCGCUUGAGAGAACUCGGGUGAAGGAACUAGGCAAAAUGGUGCCGUAACUUCGGGAGAAGGCACGCUGACACGUAGGUGAAGUGAUUUACUCAUGGAGCUGAAGUCAGUCGAAGAUACCAGCUGGCUGCAACUGUUUAUUAAAAACACAGCACUGUGCAAACACGAAAGUGGACGUAUACGGUGUGACGCCUGCCCGGUGCCGGAAGGUUAAUUGAUGGGGUCAGCGCAAGCGAAGCUCCUGAUCGAAGCCCCGGUAAACGGCGGCCGUAACUAUAACGGUCCUAAGGUAGCGAAAUUCCUUGUCGGGUAAGUUCCGACCUGCACGAAUGGCGUAAUGAUGGCCAGGCUGUCUCCACCCGAGACUCAGUGAAAUUGAACUCGCUGUGAAGAUGCAGUGUACCCGCGGCAAGACGGAAAGACCCCGUGAACCUUUACUAUAGCUUGACACUGAACAUUGAGCCUUGAUGUGUAGGAUAGGUGGGAGGCUUUGAAGUGUGGACGCCAGUCUGCAUGGAGCCGACCUUGAAAUACCACCCUUUAAUGUUUGAUGUUCUAACGUGGACCCGUUACCCGGGUUGCGGACAGUGUCUGGUGGGUAGUUUGACUGGGGCGGUCUCCUCCUAAAGAGUAACGGAGGAGCACGAAGGUUGGCUAAUCCUGGUCGGACAUCAGGAGGUUAGUGCAAUGGCAUAAGCCAGCUUGACUGCGAGCGUGACGGCGCGAGCAGGUGCGAAAGCAGGUCAUAGUGAUCCGGUGGUUCUGAAUGGAAGGGCCAUCGCUCAACGGAUAAAAGGUACUCCGGGGAUAACAGGCUGAUACCGCCCAAGAGUUCAUAUCGACGGCGGUGUUUGGCACCUCGAUGUCGGCUCAUCACAUCCUGGGGCUGAAGUAGGUCCCAAGGGUAUGGCUGUUCGCCAUUUAAAGUGGUACGCGAGCUGGGUUUAGAACGUCGUGAGACAGUUCGGUCCCUAUCUGCCGUGGGCGCUGGAGAACUGAGGGGGGCUGCUCCUAGUACGAGAGGACCGGAGUGGACGCAUCACUGGUGUUCGGGUUGUCAUGCCAAUGGCACUGCCCGGUAGCUAAAUGCGGAAGAGAUAAGUGCUGAAAGCAUCUAAGCACGAAACUUGCCCCGAG
rnacentral:rRNA from 1 species